UACGUAGGGUGCGAGCGUUAAUCGGAAUUACUGGGCGUAAAGUGUGCGCAGGCGGCAAAGCAAGUCGAGUGUGAAAGCCCCGGGCUUAACCUGGGAAUUGCGCUUGGGACUGGUUGGCUUGAGUUCGGGAGAGGAGAGUGGAAUUCCCAGUGUAGAGGUGAAAUUCGUAGAUAUUGGGAAGAACACCAGUGGCGAAGGCGACUUACUGGACAUGUAUUGACGCUGAGGUGCGAAAGCGUGGGGAGCAAACAGG
rnacentral:rRNA from 1 species